GACAGAGGGUGCAAACGUUGCUCGGAAUUACUGGGUUUAAAGGGUGCGUAGGUGGGUUGGGAAGUCAGUGGUGAAAUACUUUCGCUUAACGAAGGAACUGCCAUUGAUACUAUCAAUCUUGAAUGUAGUGGAGGUAGGCGGAAUGCGUCAUGUAGCGGUGAAAUGCUUAGAUAUGACGCAGAACACCAAUUGCGAAGGCAGCUUGCUACACUACUAUUGACACUGAGGCACGAAAGCGUGGGGAUCAAACAGG
rnacentral:rRNA from 1 species